GUUCCAAUAGCUGCUCUGCAGUCCUCUGUUAGUUUUGCAUAGUUGCACUACAAGAAGAAUGUAGUUGUGCAAAUCUAUGCAAAACUGAUGGUGGCCUGUUAUUGUCUACAUCAAGAAA
rnacentral:pre_miRNA from 15 species